rnacentral:snRNA from 1 species
CGACUCUGGUUUCUCUUCAUUACGCACAAGCCUUUCGCCUUUUACACAAGCCUUUCGCCUUUUACUUUCGCCUUUUACCUCCGUGGAGAGGAACACUUGCGAGUUCAAUGUAUUUUUGGAGGGGCUUUGCUUCUGGCAGAGCC